AUUGAACGCUGGCGGCAUGCUUUACACAUGCAAGUCGAACGGGCUUGGGGGCUUGCUCCCAAGUUAGUGGCGAACGGGUGAGUAAUACAACGGAACGUACCGUGUAGUGGGGGAUAACGUAGCGAAAGUUACGCUAAUACCGCAUACGAUCUACGGAUGAAAGCGGGGGACCUUAGGGCCUUGUGCUAUACGAGCGGCAGAUGUCUGAUUAGCUAGUUGGUGAGGUAAAGGCUCACCAAGGCGACGAUCAGUAGCGGGUCUGAGAGGAUGAUCCGCCACACUGGGACUGAGACACUGCCCAGACUCCUACGGGAGGCAGCAGUGGGGAAUUCUGGACAAUGGGCGAAAGCCUGAUCCAGCCAUGCCGCGUGUCUGAAGAAGGCCUUCGGGUUGUAAAGGACUUUUGUCAGGGAGCAAAACUUACUGGUUAAUACCCGGUGAGGCUGAGAGUACCUGAAGAAUAAGCACCGGCUAACUACGUGCCAGCCGCCGCAGUAACAC
rnacentral:rRNA from 1 species